AUUGAACGCUGGCGGCAGGCUUAACACAUGCAAGUCGAGCGGGGAAAGGUAGCUUGCUACUUUACCUAGCGGUGGACGGGUGAGUAAUGCUUAGGAAUCUGCCUAUUAGUGGGGGACAACAUCUCGAAAGGGAUGCUAAUACCGCAUACGUCCUACGGGAGACAGCAGGGGACCUUCGGGCCUUGCGCUAAUAGAUGAGCCUAAGUCGGAUGAGCUAGUUGGUGGGGUAAAGGCCUACCACGGCGACGAUCUGUAGCGGGUCUGAGAGGAUGAGCCGCCACACUGGGACUGAGACACGGCCCAGACUCCUACGGGAGGCAGCAGUGGGGAAUAUUGGACAAUGGGGGGAACCCUGAUCCAGCCAUGCCGCGUGUGUGAAGAAGGCCUUUUGGUUGUAAAGCACUUUAAGCGAGGAGGAGGCUACCGAGAUUAAUACUCUUGGAUAGUGGACGUUACUCGCAGAAUAAUCACCGGCUAACUCUUUGCCAGCAGCCGCCGUAAGAC
rnacentral:rRNA from 1 species